CCGCGCCUGGAGUGGCAGGGACUCAUGACGAUGGCACCGCUGGCCGAAGGCGACGAGGUGGCCCGGUUCUGCUUCCGGGGGCUCAGGC
rnacentral:tRNA from 1 species